CCAAAGGCUCUUUUUAGAGCCAUUCACAUUGCAAUGAGUAUUCUU
rfam:Salmo salar isolate Sally breed double haploid chromosome ssa12, whole genome shotgun sequence.